rnacentral:rRNA from 1 species
UACGGGGGGGAGCAAGCGUUGUUCGGAUUUACUGGGCGUAAAGGGCGCGUAGGCGGCGUAACAAGUCACUUGUGAAAUCUCCGGGCUUAACCCGGAGCGGCCAAGUGAUACUGUUGUGCUAGAGUGCGGAAGGGGCUACUGGAAUUCUCGGUGUAGCGGUGGAAUGCGCAGAUAUCAGGAGGAACACCGGUGGCGAAGGCGGGAUCUCUGGGCGAGUAACUGACGCUGAGGAGCGAAAGCGUGGGGAGCGAACAGG